rnacentral:sRNA from 1 species
AUGCACCACGCCUACCCUGCGGUUCCUGUGCGCCGGCCGCAUCCACCUGACGACUGCUCGCUACGUUUCGUUAUCU